CUCUCAAUAUGUCAAAUGGACUAGCCAGUUCCAGACUCUAGAUGAAACUGCUUUUGGUUUAAUAUUCAAUCUUCACAGCUCACCUGAGGUGGACCAGCUGCUUCCUGUGGGAGAAGGGCAGUUGUAUCAUUGAUGCUGUGCUUCUUUCUGAGGACCAUCAACUAUGUUUCAGUUCAUCCCCCAUAUCUAAUGGAAGACCUUCAACAUGAAAGAUGGCACCCCUGUAAUAUGGCAGGGAGACCUCUGAGCUUUUAAGGUAGAGAAAAAAUACCAUUCGCCAAAUCAAUAGCUGUAUAACAGGUACCUGAGAAUGUACCGAAAUGCUCCAGUAAUGAAACCACAUUCGGAACAGCAGCUGCAAUUGCUCGAUAAUGUUUAUGAUAAUCUACUAUCAUUGUCUAAGACCCAUCUGUCUUCUGCACAGGCCAAGGUAAGAAUUGCAUUUGUGGACAUAAUCAAUGAAGCACGGCAACAACCUAUAAGAAUCAUUGGAAGCUGGUAUUCACAGGCAGUGCAAUGGAUGAUGGAACAUCCUGAGUGGUGGUGUAGCAAGCAUUAAGCAAAGAGUGUUCAGGAAAUUUGAUGGUAAGAAGCUCUACAUUGCUUCAAUGCAAAAUCUAUAUCAUUUAUGAAGAAACUGUGUUAAAAGUUGUAACAGCAUUUCCACUGCUUUCGUUUUUCGCAGGAGGACCAGGAAUGUGUAAGGCCGGAUCUAUGCUUUGCUUGAUUUUCUUCUUCUUUAAUAAUAAUUAUGACUUUUAUUUUAGAUUCAGGGGGUACAUGUAGAAGCUUGUUACCUGGACUAUUGCAUGAUGCUGAAGUUUGUGGUAUGAUAGUCCCAUCACUCAGGUAAUGACCAUAGUACCCCAUCAUUAGUUUUUAAAUCCUUGGCAACUUCCGUGUCUACCUUUUUCUUGUUUCAGGAGAUUUAAGUUAGCCAAAAAUGAAACAUUUGAAAAUGAAGGACCUGAAUGGAUGUUUUCUCAAUCUGAACAGGAAAAGAAAGUGCCUGGUUAUUGUAUUAAAAAAAAAGGCUUCAUGGGCACUGAUUACACAAUAAACAAAUUAUGUGC
rnacentral:lncRNA from 13 species